rnacentral:rRNA from 1 species
AUUGAACGCUGGCGGCAUGCCUUACACAUGCAAGUCGAACGGCAGCGGGGACUUCGGUCCGCCGGCGAGUGGCGAACGGGUGAGUAAUGCAUCGGAACGUACCCGGGAGUGGGGGAUAACUAUCCGAAAGGAUAGCUAAUACCGCAUAUUCUGUGAGCAGGAAAACAGGGGAUCUUCGGACCUUGUGCUUCCGUAGCGGCCGAUGUCCGAUUAGCUAGUUGGUGGGGUAAAGGCCUACCAAGGCGACGAUCUGUAGCGGGUCUGAGAGGAUGAUCCGCCACACUGGAACUGAGACGCGGUCCAGACUCCUACGGGAGGCAGCAGUGGGGAAUUUUGGACAAUGGGCGCAAGCCUGAUCCAGCCAUGCCGCGUGAGUGAAGAAGGCCAUCGGGUUGUAAAGCUCUUUCGGCCGGGAAGAAAUCGCAUAGGUUAAUACCCUGUGUGGAUGACGGUACCGGAAUAAGAAGCACCGGCUAACUACGUGCCAGCAGCCGCCGUAACAC